rnacentral:rRNA from 1 species
AUGGAACACGUUGAGAAUCCUGUUGAGGGUGACAAUGGAACUCCUGUGAGGAGUAAGAGACAGAGGACUGCAAAGUCCUUUGGUGAUGAUUUCAUUGUGUACCUCGUGGAUGACACACCCAGGACUAUUUUAGAAGCCUAUGCAUCUCCUGAUGCUGACUACUGGAAGGAAGCUGUACGUAGCGAGAUGGAUUCCAUCUUAGCUAACGGUACCUGGGAGAUCACUCACCGUCCUUAUGGGUGCAAACCUGUAGGAUGUAAGUGGGUGUUCAAGAAGAAGCUUAGACCUGAUGGUACGAUUGAAAAGUACAAGGCACAGCUUGUGGCCAAGGGUUAUACCCAGAAAGAAGGUGAAGACUUCUUUGACACUUACUCACCCGUGGCUAGAAUGACCACAAUUCGGGUGCUACUAUCACUGGCUGCCUCACAUGGUCUUCUCGUUCAUCAAAUGGACGUUAAGACAGCUUUCCUCAAUGGAGAGUUGAAGGAGGAAAUUUACAUGGAUCAGCCAGAUGGUUUUGUAGUACCUGGUCAGGAAGGAAAGGUGUGCAAGUUAUUAAAGUCUUUAUAUGGCCUUAAACAAGCUCCUAAAGAGUGGCAUGAGAAGUUCGAAAGAACAUUAACUACUGCUGGCUUUGUAGUAAAUGAUGGUGACAAGUACGUGUACUAUCGCUAUGGUGGGGGCGAAGGAGUUAUUCUUUGUCUGUAUGUCGACGACAUACUGAUCUUUGGAACCAAACUUGAUUUAAUCAAGGAGGUUAAGGAUUUCUUAUCUCGCUGUUUUGAGAUGAAGGAUCUAGGAUGCACGCCUUCUCCAACUCCAUAUGAUGCUAGUGUGUUGCUUCGAAAGAAUCGACAGAUUGCUAGAGAUCAACUGAGGUAUUCUCAGAUUAUUGGCUCGCUUAUGUAUUUGGCGAGUGCCACGAGGCCUGACAUCUCUUUUGCUGUGAGCAAACUGAGUCGGUUUGUGUCAAAACCGGGAGAUGAUCAUUGGCAUGCGCUUGAGAGAGUUAUGCGCUAUUUGAACGGCAUCGUGAGCUAUGGGAUUCACUACACCGGGUAUCCAAGGGUACUGGAGGGUUAUAGUGACUCAAAUUGGAUAUCUGAUGCUGGUGAGAUUAAUUCCACAAGUGGUUAUGGUUUUACACUUGGUGGAGGUGCUGUUUCCUGGAAGUCUUGCAAGCAGACCAUCUUAACGAGGUCAACUAUGGAAGCAGAACUCACAGCAUUAGACACUGCCACUAUUGAAGCGGAGUGGCUUCAUGAGCUCUUGAUGGACUUACCUAUGGUUGAAAAACCAAUACCCCCUAUCCCGAUGAACUGUGAUAAACAAACUGUGAUCGUCAAGAUAAACAGUUCUAAGGACAAUAUGAAGUCCUCAAGGCAUGUGAAGAGGAGACUAAAAUCUGUCAGAAAAUUGAGGAACUCCGGAGUUAUUACGUUGGAUUAUAUCCAAACGUCGAAAAAUUUGGCAGAUCCCUUCACAAAGGGUCUAUCACGUAAUGUGAUAGAUAAUGCAUCGAUGGAGAUGGGUCUGAGACCCACCGCGUGA